GACGAACCGUGCGAACGUUGUUCGGAAUCACUGGGCUUAAAGGGCGCGUAGGCGGGCUCAAAAGUCAGGGGUGAAAUCCCACGGCUCAACCGUGGAAGUGCCUUUGAUACUGUGAGUCUCGAGGGAGGUAGGGGCGUGCGGAACUUCCGGUGGAGCGGUGAAAUGCGUUGAUAUCCAGAGGAACUCCGGUGGCGAAGGCGGCACGCUGGACCCCGUCUGACGCUGAGGCGCGAAAGCGUGGGGAGCAAACAGGG
rnacentral:rRNA from 1 species